AUACGGAGGAUCCGAGCGUUAUCCGGAUUUAUUGGGUUUAAAGGGAGCGUAGGCGGACGCUUAAGUCAGUUGUGAAAGUUUGCGGCUCAACCGUAAAAUUGCAGUUGAUACUGGGUGUCUUGAGUACAGUAGAGGCAGGCGGAAUUCGUGGUGUAGCGGUGAAAUGCUUAGAUAUCACGAAGAACUCCGAUUGCGAAGGCAGCCUGCUGGACUGUAACUGACGCUGAUGCUCGAAAGUGUGGGUAUCAAACAGGAUUAGAUACCCUGGUAGUCCACACAAUAAACGAUGAAUACUCGCUGUUUGCGAUAUACAGUAAGCGGCCAAGCGAAAGCGUUAAGUAUUCCACCUGGGGAGUACGCCGGCAACGGUGAAACUCAAAGGAAUUGGCGGGG
rnacentral:rRNA from 1 species